rnacentral:rRNA from 1 species
UACGUAGGGUGCAAGCGUUGUCCGGAAUUAUUGGGCGUAAAGAGCUCGUAGGCGGUUUGUCGCGUCGAAUGUGAAAACCCGGGGCUCAACUCCGGGCCUGCAUUCGAUACGGGCAGACUAGAGUUCGGUAGGGGAGACUGGAAUUCCUGGUGUAGCGGUGAAAUGCGCAGAUAUCAGGAGGAACACCGAUGGCGAAGGCAGGUCUCUGGGCCGCUACUGACGCUGAGAAGCGAAAGCAUGGGGAGCGAACGGG